CAAUGUCAAAUGAUCUCAUGUCAGAUGGGUCUGUACUUGUUGGGUAGCUGUGUUUUCCUGGUCUUUGAUAGUAGGCUUGUAUUCCCAGUUGUUAGCCAGUCUGGUGUGUCCUCUUCUCCAUUCAGUAUUUUUUGUCAAAGCCAUGGCAUAGUGGUGGUGCAACACUAUCAGCCUUUUCAACCAAAAAUUUAAGAUUUUGUCAAUGCCGGGUGCCUUGAAGUUACUGUAUUCACUCAUUUUCUUUCUGAUCCCCUCUUCAGUGAUUACAACUGCUGGCAUUUGCUGUUUGUCUUUGUUUUACUACUUCUAUCCACUCGGCCUCCUGGUGUUGUUUUGGGUCUUCAAAGAGUGGCCUCCGGAAUUUUUCAACUUCUCUCUCGGGUGGCUGUG